UACGUAGGGGGCGAGCGUUGUCCGGAUUUAUUGGGCGUAAAGAGCUCGUAGGCGGUUUGGUAAGUUGGAUGUGAAAUCUCCAGGCUCAACUUGGAGGGGUCAUUCGAUACUGCCAUGACUAGAGUUCGGUAGGGGAGUGUGGAAUUCCAUGUGUAGCGGUGAAAUGCGUAGAGAUAUGGAGGAACACCAGUGGCGAAGGCGACUUUCUGGUCUGUAACUGACACUGAGGCGCGAAAGCGUGGGGAGCAAACAGG
rnacentral:rRNA from 1 species